rfam:Sporosarcina sp. P33, complete genome.
AAUAAGAGUAAAUGAGUUCCCCGUAUAUGCUGCAGAAUUGGCUGCUGCGUUUCUACAAAGACACCGUAAAUGUCUACACUAUGUGGGAAAGCAAUUUUUCU